GAUGAACGCUGGCGGCGUGCUUAACACAUGCAAGUCGAACGAACCUUCGGGUUAGUGGCGGACGGGUGAGUAACGCGUGAGAAUCUGCCCUCAGGAGGGGGAUAACGGCUGGAAACGGCCGCUAAUACCCCAUAUGCCGCGAGGUGAAAUGAAUUUCGCCUGAGGAUGAGCUCGCGUCUGAUUAGCUAGUUGGUGGGGUAAAGGCCUACCAAGGCAUCGAUCAGUAGCUGGUCUGAGAGGAUGAUCAGCCACACUGGGACUGAGACACGGCCCAGACUCCUACGGGAGGCAGCAGUGGGGAAUUUUCCGCAAUGGGCGAAAGCCUGACGGAGCAACGCCGCGUGAGGGAUGAAGGCCUCUGGGCUGUAAACCUCUUUUAUCAAGGAAGAAGAUCUGACGGUACUUGAUGAAUAAGCCACGGCUAAUUCCGUG
rnacentral:rRNA from 1 species